UUAUCGAGUUUAUUCAACUCCCAAACCCUAUGUGAACUUACCACUUGUUGCUUCGGCGGCGCUCUCGGGCGUCGCCGAGGGUAUCAAACUCUUUUUGUUUUUACAGCAUUAUCUGAGUGGCCGCAAGGCAAAAAACAAAUGAAUCAAAACUUUCAACAACGGAUCUCUUGGUUCUGGCAUCGAUGAAGAACGCAGCGAAAUGCGAUAAGUAAUGCGAAUUGCAGAAUUCUGUGAGUCAUCGAAUCUUUGAACGCACAUUGCGCCCCCUAGCAUUCUAGAGGGCAUGCCUGUCCGAGCGUCAUUUCAACCCUCAAGCGCUGUUCCGCUUGGAAUUGGGGCUCUUGCAGCAAGCAUUUAAGUGCUCUGCAAGCCCUGAAAUUCAGCGGCGGGCCCGCCGGCACACCGAACGCAGUAACAUUACUUCCCGUUCAGGGCGUGCGGCGCGGCGCAGCCGACCUCUUUUAAAAUUUUCCAAAGUUGACCUCGGAUCAGGUAGGACUACCCGCUGAACUUAAGCAUAUCAAUAAGCGGAGGAAAAGAAACCAACAGGGAUUGCCCUAGUAACGGCGAGUGAAGCGGCAACAGCUCAAAUUUGAAAUCUGGCUUCGGCCCGAGUUGUAAUUUGUAGAGGAUGCUUUCGGCGCGGCGCCUUCUGAGUUCCCUGGAACGGGACGCCAGAGAGGGUGAGAGCCCCGUACGGUUGGACGCCUAGCCUAUGUAAAGCUCCUUCGACGAGUCGAGUAGUUUGGGAAUGCUGCUCAAAAUGGGAGGUAAAUUUCUUCUAAAGCUAAAUACCGGCCAGAGACCGAUAGCGCACAAGUAGAGUGAUCGAAAGAUGAAAAGCACUUUGAAAAGAGGGUUAAACAGUACGUGAAAUUGUUGAAAGGGAAGCGCUCGUGACCAGACUUGCGCUCAGCGGAUCAUCCAGCGUUCUCGCUGGUGCACUCCGCUGUGCUCAGGCCAGCAUCGGUUCUUCUGGGGGGAUAAAAGCUCCGGGAACGUGGCUCCUCCGGGAGUGUUAUAGCCCGUUGCACAAUGCCUUCAGAGGGACCGAGG
rnacentral:rRNA from 1 species